CACCUUACAAGAAAAGCCAGAAAAGAAAACCCGUGUGUAUUGUAAGAGUUUAAAGAGACAGCCACUCCAAAAGAAAAUGGACAUUCACAUUGACGCCUGGAAAAGAACCAGGAGUCACCAUGCAAAUGUGUCAUAGCAGCGAGAAGUCCUGUGAAAGCGAAGGAGAUCAGCCAGGCUCCCGUAAGACCCCUCUCCCCAUUCAUCUAAGCUCCUCCGUGUGUCCACCGAACUAUAUCACAUCAGCACUUCCACAUCUGUCCUCAUGGCACUGAGCACUUCUCUGGAAACUGACCAGUUAUUGCAGAGCCUUGUUUCCCCAGCAUCAUCCUCCAAGAGAAGGAUCCUACAGGAACAAAGGGAUGCCUGUGGCUCUGCAACUGGAUUGGAAGGAGCCAAAAUUCUCCUGAUUUGAGUUUCUGGUUCUGCUGCAGUCAGUCACACGUCCACAAAGACCUCAAAUUUAUGUCCUCUAAAAACUCAUUGAGUAGUUGCCAUCAUCAUCACGGUCUUCAUCAUGGUGGUAGAAGUUAACGGGAGCAAGUCACUCGCAUUAUGCCAUUGAGACCUCCCCAUCGCCCUGUGAAGUAAGCACCGUGUUCACCCCAAGCUCUGGUUGGAGCAGCAGUUGGAGCAUAAUAAGAGCUCCAGGAAGGGCAGUCACGGCGGCAUUCUGUGCGCAGCACUUGCAUGGGAACAGUCCCUUGAAAGGGAAAAUAAAAAGCUCUAUGGCCUUCUAGGUGCUAAGGAGUGAUUAAUCCACACUAGUCCAUUGAGCACCUAUUCCAUGUCCUUGUGGAAAACACGGGGAUGCUGGGUUUGUAGGCGAGGCUAUACCUGGCAUGCUAUGUUGGGCAUGUAAAGGUUUGCCAAGUCAGCUGAUGGGGGUCUUGGAAGUGUGGAUGGACUACCCCUUGCCCUUGAGAAGCUAUCUUUGAUGAUGAGGGGAGGAUUUGCAGCGUGGCACAAGGUAUGAGGACGAGAAGCACAGAGCCUCUGCCCAGGACAUCUGCCUUCCACACUCAGCUGCCAGCAGCGUUUCUCCACCUUCCCUGGCCCAAGGAGCACCUGAGGGAGGUGGAUAAAGAUGCAGACAUCUGAGCCCUAUCCCCAGAUAUGUCGCUUUGGUGUGUCUGGAGUAAGCCAGGGAAUUUGCAUUUCUACCAAGUUUCCCAGGCGAUCCGGAUGCUGGGGGCCCACAGACCUUCUGCUGAAGAACAAAGACCUAGAGGAGACAGAGAUCCGAGUGGACCAG
rnacentral:lncRNA from 1 species